GAUGAAGAACGUAGUGAAAUGCGAUACUUGGUGUGAAUUGCAGAAUCCCGUGAACCAUCGAGUCUUUGAACGCAAGUUGCGCCCGAAGCCAUUAGGCCGAGGGCACGCCUGCCUGGGCGUCACACGUCGUUGCCCCCCCAUCUAAUCCUUCGGGAUUGCGGGGGGCGGAUGAUGGCCUCCCGUGCGCCUCGUCGCGCGGUUGGCAUAAAUGCCAAGUCCUCGGCGACGCACGCCACGACAAUCGGUGGUUGCGAAACCUCGGUUGCCCGUCGUGUGCGGUCGUCGCGCAUCGAGGGCUCGAAAAAAUUGCCGGGCUCCGGCUCGACUUUCAACGCGACCCCAGGUCAGGCGGGGUUACCCGCUGAAUUUAAGCAUAUCAAUAAGCGAA
rnacentral:misc_RNA from 1 species